rnacentral:lncRNA from 1 species
GCCACUCCAGGACUGGACCAAGUUAAUCCAUUUCUGCAAAAUGCCCAAGGAGCCAGCAUGACUUGGAAAUGAAGGACAAAAGGGACCCUCUGAAGAUUCAAAGACCUCUCAGGACAGUUGAUGCCAAGAAAUGAUUCAGAUUCAACAUGUAACUUCUUGAUUGAGUGAACAAUGUCUGGUCUCUCCCAGAAAGCCUGGUACCUAGGCUGCUAUGCUGCUGAUCUGGGAGUCUAGAGACUGGAGUCCUAGCCUCAGCUGAAGAAUCAACUGGCAGCAAAACUUUGGCCAAAUCACUUCCCCUUUCUGGGCCUCAGUUUUCCCCUCAAUAAAAUUAAGGAGUUG